UGUUAGUUGAUUUAGUUAGUCCUGAAAUGGCUACAUACAACUGCCUGCAAGUAAGGAAUGGAUAAGGCAUUAUCUCUUGAUCUGGGUCUCUUAUACUCUGAAGAUGGCUUCGGAAACAUGAAGCUCUGGAAACUUGAUCUGUAUUGAGAGUUGUGCCAUGAAGAAAUUGCAAGGGUGUGGUACAGGUGUGCAGGAAGUAGCGGCGCCUACUAAAUUGCAUACAAGAAGUUGCCCCACUUACCAGCGACAAGGCUCAGGGUGUCCACGGACAUCUCUCUUGCAACACCCUCCUCUGCUGCUGCUGCUGCUGCUGCUGGUGGUGGUGGUGGUGGUGCAGCAGGUGGCCCAGACCAAUCUUCGUUCUUCGCUACCCGUUCAUCAGACUUGCUGCAAGGACGAGAAACAUGCUUCAGUAUAUGACCAGACUGCACAUUGACUAACGUUUCUACAACUUCCACUACUAUGGACACCCUGGUAAUAAAAAAGAGAGUCAUGCUCAUUAGAUUAGCACAGCUAACGAAAGCUCUUAGUGCUCUGCCUAAUUUUGAAGAAUGUCUUUGGCCUAGCUUGUUCUCAGACUAGUUUCCCUAAGUUUCUUCCACUCUAGUUCUAGGACUGUUUGCUAGCGUUAUAUCUUGACGAACCAUUCCUUAACAGUGGUUGGAAUUUUUAACGCUUGCCUUCCAGAUUACUUGUGUUGACACAUGCUAUUGAAGAAAAAAGUGAGUCACAUGUGUGGCCUAGGAUUUAGAUGAAGUGGCGUUUGGACUGAGAGCUGUGUACU
rnacentral:lncRNA from 1 species